UACAGAGGAUGCAAGCGUUAUCCGGAAUGAUUGGGCGUAAAGCGUCUGUAGGUGGCUUUUUAAGUCCGCCGUCAAAUCCCAGGGCUCAACUCUGGACAGGCGGUGGAAACUACCAAGCUUGAGUACGGUAGGGGCAGAGGGAAUUUCCGGUGGAGCGGUGAAAUGCGUAGAGAUCGGGAGGAACACCAGUGGCGAAGGCGGCGACCUGGACGGACACUGACGCUGAGACGCGAAAGCGUGGGGAGCAAACAGG
rnacentral:rRNA from 1 species